rnacentral:lncRNA from 1 species
AUGUAUAUCGGUCUCUCUUUUGAACAUCUUCCACAUUCAAAGAGGCAAUCGCACAGUAUAGCCCAUCUUCCACACGCGAUAAAUUCUCGUUUCAGCCAACUCUCAACGGCGGGGCAACCAGCACAACGCCAUCUCCCCGUACAAAGAGCAUUGGAAUAUUCCGUUUUGUUGAAUGUAACCUGCCUCGAAGUUCUCUGUCGUUUCUCAUUUUCACGUAGAUGCGCUCGUCCAGGCUGAGCCGGAUGAGAUCCAAGGGCUCUUCCACAGUGUUGGUGGUUUGUUGCUGGUCCACGUCGUCUGCCAUCUUUCCAAGAAGUUCUAAAAAUUCAUAACCUUAUGACUUUUUUUUAAAGAUAAGGAGGAUGGAAAAUGAGUGAACUAAGCUUUUCCAACCAAAGAGUCAGGAAAAUUAAAACUAAAAGCAAAAUAAGAAGAUAAUGAUUAAUAAAGAAACAAAUUAGUGAAAUAAAA